rnacentral:lncRNA from 1 species
UGCAAGCUACGCCUCCCAGGUUUAGGCCAUUCUCCUGCCUCAGCCUCCUGAGUAGCUGGGACUACAGGCGCCUGCCACCUCGCCUGGCUAGUUUUUUGUAUUUUUUAGUAGAGACGGGUUUCACCGUGUUAGCCAGGAUGGUCUCGAUCUCCUGACCUCGUGAUCCACCCAUCUCGGCCUCCCAAAGUGCUGAGAUUACAGGCUUGAGCCACCGCGCCCAGCCGGCAUCAUUUCUUAGAUCCUUUUUUCCAUGGCUAAGCGUAAAUGAAGCAAUGAUCAGAAAUUUAUCCCCCAAAAUAGGGCUCUAUAGCAGAUUAUAAUGUAAAGGCUAUGGUUACGCAAAAGAGUGUUAGAUGUUGUUACUAAAGUUGUGCUAAAUAAGAUAAUUUCUUUUGAUUACUUACUGGAUAAACAGAGAACUACCUUUGCAGUUGCUAAUACUUGUAGUUGCACAUGGUAGAAUACAUUGGGCAUUACAGAGAUGCAGUUGUAGGGGAUUAAUGAACAGUCUGCUUGGUUGAAAUGAGUAGAUCAUUAUCUAGCUAAUUAUUUAAUCUAUUUAAUUUUUGUUGGUUGUUCAUGGGGGCCUUGGCUAAGAAGCAUGGUUUCAACUCUUCUUCUUCUUUUUUUUUUUUUUUUUGUGAUGAAAUCUCACUCUGUAGCCUAGGCCGGAGUGCAGUGGUGUAAUCCUGGCUCACUGCAACCUCUGCCUCCCCGGGUCAAGCGAUUCUCCUUCCUCAGCCAGCUGAGUGGCUGGGAUUACAGGCGUGUACCUCUGCACCUGGCUAGUUUUUAGUAUUUUCAGUAGAGACUGGGUUUCACCAUGUUGACCAGGCUGCUCUUGAACUCCUGACUUCAGUUAAUCUGCCCACCUUGGCCUCUCAAAGUGCUAAUAUUACAGGAAUGGGCCACUGCGCCCGGCCGGUUUCAACUCUUGGUAUUAUCCUCCUGAUAAUCAAAAUAGUAGUCUCCCUACUACACCGUAUUCUCUCAAAAGUUAUAAAGGUUCACAUGCAGUCAUCUCUAGAAUGUCAAAUGGUCUCUCUUUAACUAGAAUGACAGAAACUCAAAGACAUAUGUGACCAUGGAGACACCAUAACCUAUGAAUAACACUAUAAGGGCAAAAACCCUAAAUAAUGGAUAUUGAGAGUGGCACUAAGGCCCUGAGUUUUGGUCACACUCUGACCUAUGUAAGAACUUUACCAAAAAGGGAGAGUUUUAAAAACAAAGUUGGCCAGAACGCUGGCUCACACCUGUAAUCCCAACACUUUGGGAAGCUGAGGAGGGUGGAUCACGAGGUCGGGAGAUGGAGACCAUCCUGGCAAAUGGGUGAAACCCUGUCUCUUCUAAAACUACAAAAAUUAGCUCGGUGUGGUGGCAAGUGUCUGUAACCCCAGCUACUCUGGUGGCUGAGGCAUGAGAAUCGCUUGAACCCAGGAGGCGGAAGUUGCAGUGAGCCGAGAUCAUGCCACUGCACUCCAGCCUGAUGACAGAGUGAGGCUCCAUCUCAAAACAAAACAAAACAAAAGUUAUUGG